CGGAUCAGAAUGCCGCGGUGAAUACGUUCCCGGGUCUUGUACACACCGCCCGCCACACCAUGGGAGUUGGAAAUGCCCGAAGUCAGUGGCCCAACCGGAAGGGGGGAGCUGCCGAAGGCAGGUUCGAUGACUGGGGUGAAGUCGUAACAAGGUAGC
rnacentral:rRNA from 1 species